CUUUCAGUGAGCGUCGCCGCCAUAAUAUGAGUGGCCCAGUUGUUGAAAGCGCCAAGCGGAGCAGUUAGCCCUAUUUUAUAUUCCAUUUUUUUACUUAUUUGAUGAAAAUGCCUCACUCGUGUUCUGCAAUUAAUUGUCAAAAACGUUUUACGGUCGAGACCAGAGCGGCGGGGAUUACCUUUCACAGGUUUCCCAAAGAAAGCAGCAUGAAGAAACAAUGGAUAAGAGCUGUCAGGAGGAAAGACUUCACUCCCAGCAACGCUUCCAGAAUCUGCAGUGAGCAUUUUAAACCAGAGGACUUCGACAGAACAGGCCAGACGGUUAGACUCAGAGAAGGAGUUGUUCCCUCAGUCUUUAGUUUUCCUACUCGUCGCAAAAAGCCUCCAGCAACUAACACAACCAAGACUUCUCCCAAGAAACAAGACAGCAAAGUAGUGAAUAUUUCCCCACCUGCUCAAGAACCUGAACCUCUGCCCAGUCCCGAUUUGGACCACUCUUAUGCACUGCCUCCAUCUCCGGGUGAUCUGAAGGCAAAACUUAAUGAGGCAUUGGAAAGGGUUGAGAGUCUGGAAAGAGAGAUGAGAAAUGCCAAGGAUCGGGAAAGGAGAGCAAAAACUGCAUUACAAGUUCUUCUCAUGGAUCUGAGAGGGAAGAACAUUAUUGAUGAAGAUUUAAAACAAAGACAUGGUUUAUAAAAAGAUAAAAUCAAAAAUAAAGACUUGGCGAACGAUUUUAGUGGGUGCAAUGCACCUUUAUUUUUUUUAUGAAUUUAUAGUUAUUUUUUAAGAGGACUCUGUAUCCAGCUUAAGCUCUGGAUGCUGAUGAUUCUGGACCAUCUUCCCUGCCAGCGAUGCAUCUUCUGUCACAGUAGUCAGGACUGCUUGGAGCUCUAUUGCAGUUCUAUAAAAGCAGGGGGUUGGUGUAUCAGUGUGCCCAGGUUGGUCUCUCCAAGCACAUCUGGAAGACCUGGCAGACCACAAUGAAACCAUCUACCUUUCUCUCAUUGAGAUUUCGUCUCCAGG